GUCUACACAACAGCAAUCCUCACUUACAGGGGCGGCGGAACAGGGGGGGCUAGGGGGGCUAAAGCCCCCCCAGAAGUAAAAGUGGGGGGGGCUUAGCCCCCCCAGAAAAUUUGAAUUUUUUGAAAAAAUUUUGAUAAUUAGGGAAAAAUUUAGGUUAUUUUUUGAAAAUUUAGGUAUAAGGGGACAAAUUUGCAAUAUUUUGUUUAAAAAAAG